rnacentral:tRNA from 1 species
GUGCCCGUAGCUCAGCCGGAUAGAGCAACGGCCUUCUAAGCCGUCGGUCGGGGGUUCGAAUCCCUUCGGGUACGCCA